GUGAGAGUAUCUUACUGGUGAUACCUGGAUAUCUGAGUCUUUCUGAAGGUACGAAAUGAUUCUUUGUAACUGACUGUAUUUUUACAGUGAAAACCUCUUACGGGACUGUGCAGCAUGAUGCAUUGGGCAAAAUGUAGACAACUGUAUAACCAGUCUUCAUCCAAUUACCCAUAGAAUACUUCACAGUCAUUUCAGCAAGCUGGGUCCUUUUGGAGAGUUCGAAUGAUAUCAGAUACCUAUUUUAGAAAGAACUGACUGCAAAAGGAGAUUGAUUUGCUGUCAUAGAUGAUUAUGCUGUUGUCAUCUAAAAGUGAGCUCUAGUAUGCUGUCAAUCUCCCCACAGAAAUCCCC
ensembl:lncRNA